AAUGGGCGAAAGCCUGACGCAGCAACGCCGCGUGAGUGAUGAAGGCCUUCGGGUUGUAAAGCUCUUUUAGUUGGGAAAAACACAAUGAUGGUACCAACAGAAACAGCACCGGCUAACUCUGUGCCAGCAGCCGCGGUAAUACAGAGGGUGCAAGCGUUAUUCGGAAUUAUUGGGCAUAAAGCGCAUGUAGGUGGUUUGAUAAGUCUGAUGUGAAAUCCCCGGACUCAAUUCGGGAAGUGCAUUGGAUACUGUCAGGCUAGAGUAUGGGAGAGGUGAGCGGAAUUCCAGGUGUAGAGGUGAAAUUCGUAGAUAUCUGGAGGAACAACAGAGGCGAAGGCGGCUCACUGGACCAUUACUGACACUGAGAUGCGAAAGCGUGGGGAGCAAA
rnacentral:rRNA from 1 species